rnacentral:rRNA from 1 species
AACGAACGCUGGCGGCAUGCCUAACACAUGCAAGUCGAACGAGACCUUCGGGUCUAGUGGCGCACGGGUGCGUAACGCGUGGGAACCUGCCCUUAGGUUCGGAAUAACUCCCCGAAAGGGGUGCUAAUACCGGAUAAUGUCUUCGGACCAAAGAUUUAUCGCCUUUGGAUGGGCCCGCGUUGGAUUAGCUAGUUGGUAGGGAAAAAGCCUACCAAGGCGACGAUCCAUAGCUGGUCUGAGAGGAUGAUCAGCCACACUGGGACUGAGACACGGCCCAGACUCCUACGGGAGGCAGCAGUGGGGAAUAUUGGACAAUGGGCGAAAGACUGAUCCAGCAAUGCCGCGUGAGUGAUGAAGGCCUUAGGGUUGUAAAGCUCUUUUAACCGGGAUGAUAAUGACAGUACCGGGAGAAUAAGCUCCGGCUAACUCCGUG